rnacentral:rRNA from 1 species
UACGUAGGUGGCAAGCGUUAUCCGGAAUUACUGGGCGUAAAGCGCACGCAGGCGGCCUUUUAAGUUUGACGUGAAAGCUCCUGGCUUAACCGGGAGAGGUCGUUGAAGACUGGAAGGCUUGAGACGAUGAGAGGGGUGCAGAAUUCCCGGUGUAGUGGUGGAAUGCGUAGAUAUCGGGAGGAAUACCAGUGGCGAAGGCGGCACCCUGGCAUCGGACUGACGCUCAUGUGCGAAGGCGUGGGGAGCGAACGGG